GACGAACGCUGGCGGCGUGCUUAACACAUGCAAGUCGAACGGAAAGGCCCUGCUUUUGUGGGGUGCUCGAGUGGCGAACGGGUGAGUAACACGUGAGUAACCUGCCCUUGACUUUGGGAUAACUUCAGGAAACUGGGGCUAAUACCGGAUAGGAGCUCCUGCUGCAUGGUGGGGGUUGGACAGUUUCGGCGGUUGGGGAUGGACUCGCGGCUUAUCAGCUUGUUGGUGGGGUAGUGGCUUACCAAGGCUUUGACGGGUAGCCGGCCUGAGAGGGUGACCGGCCACAUUGGGACUGAGAUACGGCCCAGACUCCUACGGGAGGCAGCAGUGGGGAAUAUUGCACAAUGGGCGGAAGCCUGAUGCAGCAACGCCGCGUGCGGGAUGACGGCCUUCGGGUUGUAAACCGCUUUCGCCUGUGACGAAGCGUGAGUGACGGUAACGGGUAAAGAAGCACCGGCUAACUACGUG
rnacentral:rRNA from 1 species